AAGUCGUAACAAGGUCUCCGUUGGUGAACCAGCGGAGGGAUCAUUACCGAGUUUACAACUCCCAACCCUAUGUGAACAUACCAAGUUGCUUCGGCGGACUCGCCCCGGCGCCCGGACGGCCUCUGCGCCGGACCGCGGCCCGGACCCAGGCGGCCGCCGGGGACCCACAAACCCUGUAUUAUCAGCAUCUUCUGAAUCCGCCGCAAGGCAAAACAAAUGAAUCAAAACUUUCAACAACGGAUCUCUUGGUUCUG
rnacentral:misc_RNA from 1 species